GGCCUAUUUCUUUUUCUUUUAAUGCAGACUCCACCAUCAUUUCUUCUUUAAGCUACCCAAUUGAGCUAAUAUUAGAAGUGAAGAAAUUGUCCAUAACCCAAUAUCCUAUUACUUUACCUAAGUAAUGGGUUUUGUUCACACUCUAGAAAAAUGAAACCAAAAGUCAAAACUUAAACUGUCAUUUUAACAACCUCCAAUCUCUACUUGGCUAAGUAUAUAUAUAUUUCAUACAUAAUCAACAUUUACUCUUAUAAUACCUUAUGGCCCAUUUUACUAAUUUUGGGCUAACCAUAUUUACAUAUAUACUAUAAAUUAUAUUANNNGUUUUUAGUUAAGCUGCUCUGCCUUGGUUUGCAUAUAAAGAACAAAAAGAAAGAAAAUUCCAAACUGGAUUCUCUGUUUCUAAUCUAAAAAUCACCGACAUGCCUCUGUUAAGCUAUUAGCUUGUUCUUAUCAACUCGAUAAUCUUGUCAUACCUGUAAUAUAAAAAUAAAUAAAAAUUAAAAUUACCCUUUUUUUCUCAAAAAAAAAAAAGAAAAGAAACUGAGGUACUGUAUUAUGAUAUUUAUCAUGAAGGUGUUUUAGUUUUUCUGUUCUUGCAAGAGAGAUAAAAGAGAAAGAGUCUGAACUGUUUCAAUGGCGGCUGAUCAAGUUUGAAUUCCCUAUCUCCAUAUAUAAAGCCCUCGCCUUUCUUUAAAACUUCCAAAAGGGUACUCCAGAAACAAGGAAAAAAAGGGAAAUUAGAAAAUUAAAAACAAGAAAAGAGAAAACGACUUGGGUUGUUUUUUUGAGACCUCUCUGCGGUAUCACCAUAUAUUGUUUUUACAUGUGCUUGCUCAACUUGAAGGUGGCGAACCG
rnacentral:lncRNA from 1 species